UGCACUUGAAAAGCUAUAAAAAUAGAUUCAUUUCUUAUCUUGAAAUUUUAGUUGCUUUCGUAUUCUCGUCAGAUAAACAUGAGAUUUUUAAUUGUGAUAUUUGCUAUCCUCAUGACCUUGGCAUUGGCCAAUGGCCAGCGUAAUUGUUUGAAGCCUUGUGGCAGAAAUUUAGAUCCUCGGUGUGGUCAACAUAAGGAUGGUACAAUGGAAACUUUUGCAAAUCCUUGCGUUCUGCAAGUUAGCGAAUGUCAAAAGGGCGAAAAAAUCAGGGAACUCCACCGUGGAAAUUGUGCAAAUAAGUUUUAAAGAUGAGGUCGACAGUAAAAAAAAAUGAUAUUACAAACUGAACCAAGUUUUUCUUUAGUAUAAGAAAAGUUUUUAAAUAAAAAAGUACCAUAGAAAUCCUUCUUUCUAUAGGGGACUUUUUUGUGUAAGACAA